GUGUCUGUAUGUGUGUGCAUGAGAUGCAUUGUGUUUCUGUGUGUAUGUAAGAAAAGAAGUGUGUGUGUUUGCAUGCGUGUGUACGGGUUUGCAUUGUCUGUUUCUGUGUAUGUGUGCAAAGGAUGGAUUGUCUUUGUGUGUAAGGGUUGCAUUGUGUGUGUGUAAUGGAUGCAUUGUGUGUUUCUCUGUGUGUAAGGGAAGCAUGUUGUGUUUCUGUGUAUGUAUAGGGAUGCAUUG